rnacentral:rRNA from 1 species
AGCGAACGCUGGCGGCAGGCCUAACACAUGCAAGUCGAACGAACCUUUCGGGGUUAGUGGCGGACGGGUGAGUAACACGUGGGAACGUGCCUUUAGGUUCGGAAUAACUCAGGGAAACUUGUGCUAAUACCGAAUGUGCCCUUCGGGGGAAAGAUUAAUCGCCUUUAGAGCGGCCCGCGUCUGAUUAGCUAGUUGGUUGAGGUAAUGGCUCACCAAGGCGACGAUCAGUAGCUGGUCUGAGAGGAUGAUCAGCCACAUCGGGACUGAGACACGGCCCAAACUCCUACGGGAGGCAGCAGUGGGGAAUCUUGCGCAAUGGGCGAAAGCCUGACGCAGCCAUGCCGCGUGAAUGAUGAAGGUCUUAGGAUUGUAAAAUUCUUUCACCGGGGACGAUAAUGACGGUACCCGGAGAAGAAGCCCCGGCUAACUUCGUG